CGCCAGACUCCUACGGGAGGCAGCAGUGGGGAAUAUUGCACAAUGGGGGAAACCCUGAUGCAGCGACGCCGCGUGAGCGAUGAAGUAUUUCGGUAUGUAAAGCUCUCUCAGCAGGGAAGAAGAUGACGGUACCUGAAGAAGAAGCCCCGGCUAACUACGUGCCAGCAGCCGCGGUAAUACGUAGGGGGCAAGCGUUAUCCGGAUUUACUGGGUGUAAAGGGGGCGCAGACGACGAUGCAAGCCAGGAGUGAAAGCCCGGGGCCCAACCCCGGGACUGCUCUUGGAACUGCGUGGCUGGAGUGCAGGAGGGGCAGGCGGAAUUCCUGGUGUAGCGGUGAAAUGCGUAGAUAUCAGGAGGAACACCGGUGGCGAAGGCGGCCUGCUGGACUGCAACUGACGUUGAGACCCGAAAGCGUGGGGAGCAAACAGGAUUAGAUACCCUUGUAU
rnacentral:rRNA from 1 species